GACGAACGCUGGCGGCGUGCUUAACACAUGCAAGUCGAACGGAUAUGCCCUGCUUUUGUGUUGUGCUCGAGUGGCGAAAGGGUGAGUAACCCGUGAGUAACCUGCCCUUUACUUUGGGAUAACUUCAGGAAACUGGGUCUAAUACCGGAUAUGAUCUCCUGCUGCAUGUUGUGGGUUGGAAAGUUUCGGCGGUUGGGGAUGUACGCGCGGCUUAUCAGCUUGUUGGUGGGGUAGUGGCUUACCAAGGCUUUGACGGGUAGCCGGCAUGAGGGGGUGAACGGGCACAUGACGCCUGAGGUAGGCCGCAGUAGCGAAUGGGCGGCAGCGGAGGAGAGUAUUACAGAGUGAGCGGGAGUGAGAUAAGAAAGCGCUGCGAGCGGGAUGACGGGUUGUGAGUGAAGAACCACUAUCGCAGGAGCUGAAGCGUGAGUGACGGUAACGAAUAAAAAAGCCACGGCUAACUACGUG
rnacentral:rRNA from 1 species